UCAGCCCCUCCAAAUGAAAACGCCCCAUUCCCACUCUCCCACCCUCACCACCCUCACCCCGCCCCACCCUCACCCCGCCCCACCCUUGGCUCUCGAGGCUCCACCCUUCCUGGCGGGGCUGAUUUCUCAUCCUCUGCAGCCCAGCUCUGGGCAGAGCCCGUUCCAGGAGCUCUGCGCAUGUGUACUUAGGCGUUGACCGCACAUGUUUAAACGACGGUUGGGAGUGUAGGAAUUCUGGCCCCUGAGGCCCUGAAAUCGGCAUUUCAGUUUACUGUCAGCCACCUCUCAGUGGGGUCAGCACUGUGUCCCUGAGCCAGCAGGGUGAGAAAACCGCCACCGAUUCCCAUCUCAGAGGCAGCCACUCGAGACCCAAGUUUCUGUCCAAGGACAAGGACACUCAGAAACACUUCAGAGAAAAUGAAGGCAAGACCGGGCAGCCAGCCUACCUGGCACACUGAGCUUCUACAUCAGAAGAAUGGCACGCCAUACUCCUGAGUAUAUCCAAAAGUGAGAACACUGAAUUCUGAAGUAGUGUGUUUGAACUCUUCUCUGGCUUCCUGAUGUACUUUCCUGGUGCCCACAAGCAAAUCUUCAAAAUUAUGCAAGAAGUCCUGGACUAUACUGGCCAGAGUGUGGAGAAGCACAGGGCAACCUUGGACCCCAGCAAUCCAAGAGACUUCAUUGAUAUCUACCUUCUACGCAUGGAGAAGGGAAGUCCUGCGUGAAUGAGAGAAGUGAUGGGUGAGAGUGAAGGCUGAGGAUGUGAGCAGAGGAAAGGGGGGCAGAGGAUGGAGGAGAGAUAGGAAAUGGAGGAGAAGAGAUGCAGAAGAAUCUAGACAUUGAAGACUAGAGAAAGGGAGGAGAAAAUGAAAUAGGGAGGAAGACGGCUAUGAAAGAAACACAGGGCAAGGGACUUUUGCAGAAAAGACCUCAGCAGAACAAAGAGCCUGGGAGACAAAACAUGAUAAAUACCAGGGAGCAAAGUUGAGAGAGAAGACAAAGCAAACAGAGAGCCAGUGACAUUAUUGAGGAAUGAGCCUGCCAAUGUGGUCCAUACAGUGUGAGACAGAAGGACAGUUCCCAGGAUGAUGAGCAUCUUCCUGUAAGGACCCAGUCAUCCCUGACCCUCCCUUCUCUCUCCCAUUUGGAACCAGGAGAAGUCCAACCAACACACAGAGUUCCAUCACCAGAACCUCAUGUUCUCCGUACUGUCCCUCUUCUUUGCUGGCACUGAGACCAGCAGCACCACACUCCGCUAUGGCUUCCUGCUCAUGCUCAAAUAUCCCCAUAUUACAGGCCUCAUGCUGUGUACAUUGUGGAAAUGGAUGUCGCAGUUCCUCAGGUAGGUAGGAAUCAAUCUACCUCAAGAUGCAUCUAUACCAUUCUUGGGUAUGUACCCAAAGGACACUUCAUCCUUCCACAGAGAGACUUGCACAACCAUGUUCAUUGCUGCUCUAUUCAUAAUAGCCAGGAAUUGAACAUUUCCAAAAAUGGAAACCUAAUACAGUAAAAUGUUCCUAAAAUAUAUUCAUCUAUGAAGGCAAUCUAAUUGAAAUUGUCAAAUAAUGAGGGAGACAGAGUUCCAAAUGAAACUUCCAAUAUUGUGAUUGGGUUACAUCUAAUUGAGUUGUUGGCCAAAGAGGUCCCUUGGGAGCUCCCAAAUAACCCAGGUUGUUGCCAAGACAAUAGGUUCUUCUCCACAAACUGGCAGCAAGGCCCCAUUGCUGAAACAAUUCCUACACAACUCACUGAACAUGGAGAGUUUGAGCUGGUGUCUACAUAGAGCCUUCACCCUACAUUCUAGCAUCUUUGGCACUAGUAUGUCUACAAGAUAUACCAGUGUAGAGGUUCUCAAACUUCCCAAUGCUGUGACCCUUUAAUAUAGUUCCUCAUGCUAUGGUGACCCCUGACCAUAAAAUUAUAACAUUGCUACUUCAUAACUGUAAUUUGGUUACUGUUACAGAUAGUAAUGUAAAUGUCUGCUAUGCAAGCUAUCUGAUAUGCAGAUAUGCAGCCCCCAAAGGGGUCAAGAUCCACAGGCUGAGAACUGCUGUGCUGAGGCAAUGAUGACACAAACCUAUGGGAAUAACCAACUGAUGUCUGAUUUGACCUAAGGCCCGUUCCAUGAGAUGGGACCCGUACCUGACACUGUUUGGGUGACCAAGAACUACAAAGCCAAGAGACUUAGAGUAAACCCAAAUAUUGCUAUUUUAACAAACAAAACAAACUAAGACAGAAUACAUAGCAAUAAAGUGAUUCCUAAUGACAUUAGACAUAGAUCAUUGCUUUACUCAGGCAUCAUGAGAAAAAUUUCUCCUAGAGCAGAUGGGAACAAAUGCAGAGACCCACAGCCAGACAUUAUACAGAGAGCGAGAAACCUUGGAAUACUUGGCCCUAAAACUGAUGUGUCCAUCAAAACCUUCCCCCCAGGACUCAGGAAAAAUUGUAAGAGAGAAGGCAGAAAGUAUAAGAGCCAGAGGGAUUGGAGGUCACCAAAAGACCAAUGUCCUCUAACUUAACAUGAUCAAAGCACAUAUGAACUAACAGACUGCAGCAGCAUGCACAGGGUUCUUCAUGGCUCUGUAUCAGGUCCUCUGUGUAUAUUUUAUGGUUUCCAGUUUAGUGUUUUGGAUCUCUGCUUCUUGUGCUUUCCCUUAGGCUCUUUUUCUUCUGUUUGUUUUGUCCAAUUCAAAUGUCUUAGUUUUUGUUUUGUCUUAUUAUAUUAUUUAUCAUCCCUUAUUAGCCUGUUUGUGUUCUAACGAGAGACAGAAAGGGGGUGAAUGUUGGUGGGAUGGUAGGUGGGGAGAAAAUGGGAAGAGCAGAUGGAGGGAAAAUAGUAAUCAGGAUAUAUUAUGUGAGAAAAAAAAUCUAUUUUCAAUAAAAGGAAACAAAAAGGAAGUAAAAAUGAAGCUGAGCAUAAACUGACCCAGACAAAAAGCAAAUACAGGGGAGGUAGAAAGCAGAGGUCCAUGUUUCUACUCAGUAAAGGAAGUGAUCUUUUAGAUUAAGUUAGGACAAAAGUUCUCCGUAUACAAUUCUGGCAGGAGAACCUCUCUCCCUUACAGUAGUUAACACAGUAGAGGCAGUGAACCUGAGAGGCACCAAACAGGGCAAUAGAAAGAUAAAAAUGGAAGGACAAAUCCUUCCUCAGCAGGAGGGAACAGGCUUAUGUAUGUCACUGAACAUAUCACAGAAGGAAACACCUCAACUGUGCUAAUGACAGUCUGUGCCUCAUAGAAAUGGAACGACUGUGAGCACAGGCGAGAAUUUUCUGCAGGACAUAAAGACAGCUUUAGCAGAUUAUCCAGGGAGAACAAUGGAGGAAGAGGACUACACAGUGUGUCUGCCGAACUCAGCAACAGACCGGGAAAAUUCCUGACUCACAGAACAAACAUAGGAGCUUUAUUCAGUUGAUUUAGAGGGCCUUGUUCUCCUGGUGUCCUCCAUCCCCUGUGGCUCUUACACUCUGCCUCCUUCAGAGUUCCCUGAGCAAUGAGGGGAGAGAAUUGAUGGAGACAUCCCACUUAGAAAUGAGUCCCCUCCCUCCCUCCCUCCCUCCCUC